GUCCGCGCCCCCGGGGAGGCCGCGCAGGGUCCCCCGGGGCGCGGCAGGUGGGCACCCUGCGAGGCCGCUCUUCCAGCCCCUGCCUGCGCACGGCAGAGUGUGCCGGGGACUUACCUCCCCUGGCGCCGCCGGCCACCCUGGAGUGUAAUCUGAACGGGGACGCUGAACGGCUGCAUGAGACCAGGGGGCUGGACAAAACGGGCUCCUUUCACCUGAGUCCUCGCCUCUGAGGGCGCGAGAGGGGAGCUGACGCAGCGACGGAAGCGGGGCCCCAGAGGAGCCCCAGUCCCGGCGCAGCACCCUGGCGCCGGGGCAGCCUCGGGAGGUGCAGGGCGGGACCCGGGACCCGGGACAGGCGGGAGGGCGAGGCCGGCGGGCCCCGCAGGCCGUGGGUCCCGGACGCUCAAGAAGAGCCUGCGGGGCCUUCUCCCCUCGGAGUCCUCGCACCUGCGUCCGCCUUCGCCUCGUCACCUGUGUUCCGCUUCAGCAGCCGGGGGCAUUGCCAUAGAGACCUCACCGCUGGUGCAACGCGGAGGCCCAGGGGACCCUAUGUAAUUGAUUUAGAUGUGCUAAUAAAUUCCCCUACAAUUUCGUGUGUAGCUUUCUUUGAAGAGAGGGCCAAGAUGACAAGUGAGAGGGAGUAACAUAACCUGUUGCCCUUUGAUUUCCCUCCUACUGCUGCUUCCCUUGGUAAAAACAACAAAAACAAGGGAGUACGAUCUGUGCCAUGCACUUAGGGAGUCUUAAUGGAUUGGAGCAGAUGAUUCAAUGUACUUUCCAUUUUUGAGAUCCAAUAAAAUCUAUGAAACCGUAACUUUGUUUGCAAGAAAAUGUGAUCUCCUCUCCUG